UACGGAGGGUGCAAGCGUUAAUCGGAAUUACUGGGCGUAAAGCGUGCGUAGGCGGUUUUUUAAGUCAGAUGUGAAAGCCCUGGGCUUAACCUGGGAACUGCAUUUGAUACUGGGGAACUAGAGUUGAGUAGAGGAGAGUGGAAUUUCAGGUGUAGCGGUGAAAUGCGUAGAGAUCUGAAGGAACACCAGUGGCGAAGGCGGCUCUCUGGACUCAAACUGACGCUGAGGUACGAAAGCGUGGGUAGCAAACAGGAUUAGAUACCCUGGUAGUCCACGCCGUAAACGAUGUCAACUAACCGUUGGGUUCUUAAAGAACUUAGUGGUGGAGCUAACGUAUUAAGUUGACCGCCUGGGGAGUACGGCCGCAAGGCUAAA
rnacentral:rRNA from 1 species